GAAAAAGAGGGGAUCAAAGACUCCCGGUGAUGUACGCCCGAAGGCCACCAGGUGACGGAUUCUGACCUUAUCACAGAGAGAGGGUGGAUUCCGGGGCAAUCCGAUUCAAGUCCGAGUCCACUCCGAUUUCCCAAUCCCUGUCUUGCAGCAGAAGCUCUCGGGUCCUGGAAGCGCGGAGCCUCUCUGGCCUUGAGCCCCGAGGGCAUGGCCCUGUGAUGUCACAAGGUGGCGUGACAGCCGGGACGAACCCCGACCCCCAGCGCGGCAUCCUUCCCGCGGCCAGCGACCACCGCCUCCCGGGAAGGUGGCUGACCACAGCCGCAAGCCGCUGCGCGCCCGGCAAGCCGAAUGGAAGGACGGCGCGGGCAAACGAACGCCCAGUGAGGUCCAGAGAAGAGAGGGACCUUCCGAGGGUCUUCUAGUCGAUCUCGGACAGGCUUUUGAGUGCCUUUUAAGCAUUCCAAAAUUUUCAGGAGACAACAGUAAUUUACAAAAUAGAGUAGAAUUAAAAGGGGGGAAAGGGGAGACUUUUCAGAGUGGGCAGAGAGGCUGAGAAAUGAACUUAGUAAAAGGCAAACCAAAGCAACCGCAGGUCUCGUGUCGUUCUCUGGAUCUGCGCAGUCCAGCAGGGUGAGCCGCUACCCACAGACUCGCAGGGCCCAUGAUCGCUUGAAAUGUGGCUUGUCCAAAUUGACAUGUGCUGUAAGGUACGCAUUGUAUUUUGAAGGCUUAGUAUGAAAAAAAUAAACUCUUUCGUUAUUAAUCUUCA
rnacentral:lncRNA from 1 species